GAUGAAGAACGUAGCGAAAUGCGAUACUUGGUGUGAAUUGCAGAAUCCCGUGAACCAUCGAGUCUUUGAACGCAAGUUGCGCACGAAGCCACUAGGCCGAGGGCACGCCUGCCUGGGCGUCACACGCCGUUGCCCCCCCAUCUACUCCUUCGGGAUUGCGGGGGGGCGGAUGAUGGCCUCCUGUGCGCCUAGCCGCGCGGUUGGCAUAAAUACCAAGUCCUCGGCGACGCACGCCACGACAAUCGGUGGUUGCGAAACCUCGGUUGCCCGUCGUGUGCGUUCGUCGCGCAUCGAGGGCUCGAAAAAAUGCUCGGCUCCGGCUGGGCUUUCAACGCGACCCCAGGUCAGGCGGGGUUACCCGCUGAAUUUAAGCAUAUCAAUAAGCGGAGGA
rnacentral:misc_RNA from 1 species